ACGGCAAAUCGGCACGGUCAGCUCCCGCCGAACUCCCCCAGGUGCGGAAGCGAGCAAGGGUAGGCGGUUGUAGCGACGCGAUGUUGGUUUGCCACUUU
rnacentral:SRP_RNA from 1 species